GACGAACGCUGGCGGCGUGCCUAAUACAUGCAAGUCGAACGCACAGUUUAUACCGUAGCUUGCUUCACCAUAGACUGUGAGUUGCGAGCGACUGAGUAAUGCGUAGGUAACCUGCCUGGUAGCGCGGGAGAACUAUUGGAAACGAUAGCUAAUAUCUCAUAAUAUUGAUUAUUGCAUGAUAAUUGAUUGAAAUAUGCUAUUGCAUCACUACCAGAUGGACCUGCGUUGUAUUAGCUAGUAGGUGAGGUAACGGGUUAACUAGGCGACGAUACAUAGCCGACCUGAGAAGGUGAUCGGCCCAACUGGGAAUGAGACACGGCCCAGGCUCCUACGGGGGGCAGCCGUAAGGAAUCUUUGGGAAUGGGAGAAAGGCUGAACGAGCAACGCCGCGGGGGUGAAGGAGGUUGUCGGAUCGUAAAGAUCUGUUGUAAGGGAAGAAAGGGUGUGAGAGUGGAAAGUGCACACUGUGACGGUACCUUAUCAGAAAGGCACGGCUAACUACGUG
rnacentral:rRNA from 1 species